ensembl:snRNA U1 U1 spliceosomal RNA
GGAGUUACCUGGCAGGGGAGACACCAUGAUCACGAAGGUGUUUUUCCCAGGGCCAGGCUCAUCCGUUGCACUCCCAUGUGCUGACCCCUGUGAUUUCCCCAAAUGUGGGAAACUCAACUGCGUAAUUCGUGGUAGCGGGGGACUGAAUUUGUGCUUUGCCCUG